rnacentral:rRNA from 1 species
UACGGAGGUGGCGAGCGUUGUCCGAAGUUACUGGGCGUAAAGCGCGCGUAGGCGGCUUUGUAAGUUAGAGGUGAAAGCCCGGGGCUCAACUCCGGAACUGCCUUUAAGACUGCAUCGCUUGAAUCCGGGAGAGGUGAGUGGAAUUCCGAGUGUAGAGGUGAAAUUCGUAGAUAUUCGGAAGAACACCAGUGGCGAAGGCGGCUCACUGGACCGGUAUUGACGCUGAGGUGCGAAAGCGUGGGGAGCAAACAGG